UUUCCGUAGGUGAACCUGCGGAAGGAUCAUUAUCGUACACUAUGAGAGAUGCAUGCUAGGGCUGUCACUGACCCAAAAGUCGUGCACGCCCGAGUGUGUGCUCUUGCAUCAUACUCGAUCUCACCCUUUGUGCAUCCCCGCGUGGGCACCCUUCGGGAGCAUCUCGGAGGGGGCCUCGCGCUUUAACUCAAACCCCCCUUCUAAAAAUGUAGAAUAACAACAUAUAUUCAAACAAUCCAACUUUCAACAACGGAUCUCUUGGCUCACCCAUCGAUGAAG
rnacentral:misc_RNA from 1 species